AGUCUCUAGGGAAGCACGAGGGCUCCCUGAUCUGGGGCAGCCCCGGGAGUCACCUGGGAGUUGAAUUAUGGGCCUGCGUCUGCCUUCUUCUGUGUCCCUGGCGGCUCUGUGUGGUUCAUGGGGCAUAUCCUUCACCCAGCAGAAGCCACAGGGCUCCCCAGAAGCAUCCACUCUUGAAUCACGAAGACUUAAGUAUGCUGUGAGCCCAGCCUGGGAAUCUCCUGGGCAGAGCUAAGCAUGGAUGCCUGACAUCUGGUCCCGGCAAGCCUUUCCUAGUUGUUCGGCAGUUGGUCCAGAGGCUGGUAAACCUGCUGAAGUGAGCAGGGACACCUACCUCUAUAAAUGGCUUAUUUCUAGCCUCUGGGGAAAUUGGGAACUUUUAAAGCUGUUUAUACUGACCCUACUCAAAUAUUACAGAUGUUCAAUAAAUAUUUGCAAAUA